rnacentral:rRNA from 1 species
AACGAACGCUGGCGGCGCGCCUAAUACAUGCAAGUCGAGCGAGAAGGUGUAGCAAUACACUUGUAAAGCGGCGAACGGGUGAGGAAUGCAUGGGUAACCUACCCUCGAGUGGGGAAUAACUAGCCGAAAGGUUAGCUAAUACCGCAUACGUUUCCGGAACUUCGGUUUCGGAAAGAAAGCAAUACCGUGGGUAUUGCGCUCCUGGAUGGGCUCAUGUCCUAUCAGCUUGUUGGUGAGGUAACGGCUCACCAAGGCUUCGACGGGUAGCUGGUCUGAGAGGACGAUCAGCCACACUGGCACUGCGACACGGGCCAGACUCCUACGGAGGCAGCAGUAAGGAAUAUUGCGCAAUGGACGAAAGUCUGACGCAGCGACGCCGCGUGGGGGAUGAAGGUCUUCGGAUUGUAAACCCCUUUCGGGAGGGAAGAUGGAGUGGGUAACCACUUGGACGGUACCUCCAGAAGCAGCCACGGCUAACUUCGUGCCAGCAGCCGCGGUAA